GGACUACUGGGGUUUCUAAUCCCGUUUGCUCCCCUGGCUUUCGCGCAUCAGCGUCAGAAAAGGUCCAGCACGCCGCUUUCGCCACCGGAGUUCCUGAUGAUAUCAACACAUUUCACCGCUCCACCAUCAGUUCCGCAUGCCCCUACCUUCCUCAAGACGACCAGUAUCAAAGGCACUUCUCCAGUUAAGCUGGAGGAUUUCACCCCUGACUUUGCCGCCCGCCUACGCGCCCUUUAAGCCCAGUGAUUCCGAACAACGUUCGCACGGUUCGUCUUACCGCGGCUGCUGGCAC
rnacentral:rRNA from 1 species